UACGGAGGGUGCAAGCGUUAAUCGGAAUUACUGGGCGUAAAGCGUGCGCAGGCGGUUUGUUAAGCCAGAUGUGAAAGCCCCGGGCUCAACCUGGGAACUGCGUUUGGUACUGGCAAGCUAGAGUGCGGCAGAGGGGGGUGGAAUUCCACGUGUAGCAGUGAAAUGCGCAGAUAUCAGGAGGAACACCAGCGGCGAAGGCGCUGCUCUGGGCCGGUACUGACGCUGAGGAGCGAAAGCGUGGGGAGCGAACAGG
rnacentral:rRNA from 1 species